rnacentral:piRNA from 1 species
UUUAGUGUACAUUAGUAAACA